GGGGUUGUGGCUCAGUGGUAGAGUUCUUGCUUAGUAUGCAUAAGGCACUGGGUUCGAUCCUCAGCACCA
rfam:Ictidomys tridecemlineatus contig095365, whole genome shotgun sequence.